rnacentral:rRNA from 1 species
AUGCACGCUGGCGGCGUGCCUAAUACAUGCAAGUAAAACGCUGAAGGAGGAGCUUGCUCUUCUGGAUGAGUUGCGAACGGGUGAGUAACGCGUAGGUAACCUGCCUGGUAGCGGGGGAUAACUAUUGGAAACGAUAGCUAAUACCGCAUGACAACAGUUAUUGCAUGAUAACUGUUUAAAAGGGGCAACUGCUCCACUACCAGAUGGACCUGCGUUGUAUUAGCUAGUUGGUGAGGUAACGGCUCACCAAGGCGACGAUACAUAGCCGACCUGAGAGGGUGAUCGGCCACACUGGGACUGAGACACGGCCCAGACUCCUACGGGAGGCAGCAGUAGGGAAUCUUCGGCAAUGGACGGAAGUCUGACCGAGCAACGCCGCGUGAGUGAAGAAGGUUUUCGGAUCGUAAAGCUCUGUUGUAAGAGAAGAACGAGUGUGAGAGUGGAAAGUUCACACUGUGACGGUAUCUUACCAGAAAGGGACGGCUAACUACGUG